rnacentral:rRNA from 1 species
UAGCUAGUUGGUGAGGUAACGGCCCACCAAGGCGACGAUCGGUAGCCGGACUGAGAGGUUGAACGGCCACAUUGGGACUGAGACACGGCCCAGACUCCUACGGGAGGCAGCAGUGGGGAAUAUUGCACAAUGGGGGAAACCCUGAUGCAGCGACGCCGCGUGGAGGAAGAAGGUCUUCGGAUUGUAAACUCCUGUUGUUGAGGAAGAUAAUGACGGUACUCAACAAGGAAGUGACGGCUAACUACGUGCCAGCAGCCGCGGUAAAACGUAGGUCACAAGCGUUGUCCGGAAUUACUGGGUGUAAAGGGAGCGCAGGCGGGAAGACAAGUUGGAAGUGAAAUCCAUGGGCUUAACCCAUGAACUGCUUUUAAAACUGUUUUUCUUGAGUAGUGCAGAGGUAGGCGGAAUUCCCGGUGUAGCGGUGGAAUGCGUAGAUAUCGGGAGGAACACCAGUGGCGAAGGCGGCCUACUGGGCACCAACUGACGCUGAGGCUCGAAAGUGUGGGUAGCAAACAGGAUUAGAUACCCUGGUAGUCCACACCGUAAACGAUGAUUACUAGGUGUUGGAGGAUUGACCCCUUCAGUGCCGCAGUUAACACAAUAAGUAAUCCACCUGGGGAGUACGACCGCAAGGUUGAAACUCAAAGGAAUUGACGGGGGCCCGCACAAGCAGUGGAGUAUGUGGUUUAAUUCGACGCAACGCGAAGAACCUUACCAAGUCUUGACAUCCUGUGACAGACGUAGAAAUACGUUCUUCCUUCGGGACACAGAGACAGGUGGUGCAUGGUUGUCGUCAGCUCGUGUCGUGAGAUGUUGGGUUAAGUCCCGCAACGAGCGCAACCCUUAUGGUCAGUUACUACGCAAGAGGACUCUGGCCAGACUGCCGUUGACAAAACGGAGGAAGGUGGGGAUGACGUCAAAUCAUCAUGCCCUUUAUGACUUGGGCUACACACGUACUACAAUGGCGUUAAACAAAGAGAAGCAAGACCGCGAGGUGGAGCAAAACUCAGAAACAACGUCCCAGUUCGGACUGCAGGCUGCAACUCGCCUGCACGAAGUCGGAAUUGCUAGUAAUCGUGGAUCAGCAUGCCACGGUGAAUACGUUCCCGGGCCUUGUACACACCGCCCGUCACACCAUGAGAGCCGGGGGGACCCGAAGUCGGUAGUCUAACCGCAAGGAGGACGCCGCCGAAGGUAAAACUGGUGAUUGGGGUGAAGUCGUAACAAGGUAGCCGUACUAGUACGCUAGGAUG